CCUACGGGUGGCAGCAGUGAGGAAUAUUGGUCAAUGGGCGAGAGCCUGAACCAGCCAAGUCGCGUGAAGGAUGACGGUCCUACGGGUUGUAAACCUCUUUUGUCAGGGAGCAAUUGGGUCCACGCGUGGGCUUAGCGAGAGUACCUGAAGAAAAAGCACCGGCCAAUCCCGUCCCAGCAGCCGCGGUAAUACGGAGGAUGCGAGGGUUACCCGGAUUUAUUGGGUUAAAGGGGUGCGUAGGCGGAAUAUCAAGUCAGCGGUAAAAAUUCGGGGCUAAACCCCGUCGUGCCGUUGAAACUGAUGUUCUUGAGUGGGCGAGAAGUAUGCGGAAUGCGUGGUGUAGCGGUGAAAUGCAUAGAUAUCACGCAGAACUCCGAUUGCGAAGGCAGCAUGCCGGCGCCCAACUGACGCUGAGGCACGAAAGCGUGGGUAUCGAACAGGAUUAGAUACCCGAGUAGUC
rnacentral:rRNA from 1 species